AAAGAUUGAUUUAUUCUUUAACUUACGAGUCGGGGUUUUAGGGUGUUAGAAUAAGAGCUACAAAUCUUUGGCUAUACUUUACUAUAAAUUUUAAUAUCACACAAAAGUAAAAACAUGGCUCGUAGUAGGAAAAUGUAUAUGUCUUACUCUAUAAUGAUAUAGGGAAAUAUCAUCAUAAGAAUUACAAUUAGAUAGAGCUUUCCUAUGACUAGAGAUACAACUAUUUGAAAAACGUCCUUAAAUAGCUAGUCUAUGACUAUGUAUACCAUUAUUUGAGGAAAGGAAAAUAAGACCAUAAGCUUGUGGCGAAAGCAAACGAAUGUGAGGAAGCAAAUACAAAUCAUUCUCAAUAAGAUACCCUUCAAGAACAACUUGAUUAAAAGCCUGAGAUUUCACAAAGCAUUUGUUAGCGAGAAAUUCAAACAUGACACAUCUAUCCUUUGCAAAUUUGGACACAAAUAACAAGUUUCUAGAAAUAUCAGAUAGAUGUAAAAUAUGCUUAAGAACAAGUUUAGUAUUAGGUGAGGCCUGAGGCACAAACCAUGAGGAACCAUCAGGUUUAAUAGACAAGCUUUGACCAUUCCCAAUUUAGACUCUAUCAUUGCCUAAUUAAGUAGAUUUAUGUUGGAUAAAAGAAUCAAAAUAGGUAAGGUGAUGUGAUGCACCUGAAAAGAGAGAAAGCCAUACAUAGACCUAGAGAAACGUUACUUAAGAGUUUAACAAACUCUAUUCUCCACAAUCAUUGUUUUAACUAACUUUAAACUACAAUACUAUACUAACUAUAGUAACUAUCUCAACUAAUUUAUUUUAGUAUAUUGAUAACAACCCAACAUAUAAUUCCUAAUUAACAUACAAGUUUGGGGUGGUCUUAGUUUUUAUCAAUAAAAAAA
rnacentral:lncRNA from 1 species